rnacentral:tRNA from 1 species
UAUAUAUUAGUGUAUGAGGCACAAAAAUUUUUGAAAUUUUUAGAAAUAGUUUAAUUCUUUUAUAUAUAA